GAGGCGCGCCCUGUUCUCCACUGAACCGCCGCCACCCCCCUUUCAUAUUGUGUAGCGGCAACGCCUCCGCCAUCUCUCCUGCGCCAUCGCCCCCCAUCCUCGAGCUCGACGCGGUGGAGAGGCGCGCCUCCACCUUCCUUGGCUGGCGUCUUCUCUUCAUCCUCUCCCUCUCCAAAGCUCCAUCGCUGUCCCCUCUCCCACCCCUUUCUCUGCAUUCGGCCAGAUCCAGCCAAUAGAAGCUAUGGCCAUGGCAUCUGGCUCCCCUGAGCUUGGUGGAGUGGAGAGGCCAAGGAGGGGAGGCCUCCCCCAGUAUCUUCCUCUCCCAAAUCACCAUUGCUGCCAGCUCUUCCUCCCCCUUCCGGAUCCGGCCAGAUCUAGGCUUCAUCGAGUUGGGGACUUCCAGAUCUGGAGCUCCAGUUCAUGGCUACGUGCUGCAUCCACCACAACAGCAACGAAGAGGAUGUGACGGGGCUCGGGAGUUCCCGUUGAUGGCGGCAACAUGCUGGAGAAUUUCCUGGCAUAAAAUGCACUUUUUCUUGUUUCUGAAUUUCCUGGCCUCCAUGUGCACCUUCAACCGAAUUUUAUUUAGUUGCUAUAUGCAGGUCACGCAGCAAUCCUGCAAAUACUUAAUGGUUGGUUGGCGAAAUGUGCAGCCCACAUUAGGAGUGCAACAAUGAAGUGCUUCCAUAAGCUGCUCAGGAUGGAGCUGAAGAAAUACAUGACAAGAACUAAGAGAUAAAACAGAAAAUGCAGAUGCAGGAAGAGCAACAGGUAGAUGAUGCGUUAAUUAUUGCCUUUAUAUUCAUUUUAGACGAUAUAGGCAAUUGUCAAAGUUGCAUCUGCCUGCAGUUACUAAAGUAAUCCCUAUCACUAUAUUUUGUGGUUCUCCCUUUUAUUUGUAUUAAAAACUUCAGAGUCAUUGAGAAGUGCCAUCAGGCUUAGUUCUACUCGAUGUCAAUAAAAUUCAGAGUCAUCUUCCUGUUCCUCUUUUUUGUAGAGUAUAAGGAUAUUGUGAUCGAAAAGAGUUUAAACUGUGAUUUGGCUUCUAAAGAGACCUCAUGGUUUUGAGGCAUCAAAACAAAAGGCUCAUUCAUUCUGUUGUGCAUGAAACAAAUUGGUCUAAUUCCUGUGUCUCUGUAGAUUCUUUAGAUUCAAACUGCAGCAAAGAACGGAUUACAGUUAUAGAAAUGUUGGCUUCCCAGUUCCUAAUUAAGAUGUGAGCAUCCCAGUGAACUGUACUCUCAGUGUCUUUGUAGUUUAAUCUACAUUGGUGGCACUGUCUACCUUAUAAUCUUACAAACUUCAGUAAGAAAAUAAUCUUACUACCUGAUUUUAGGUUCAAACAUUGUGUUUUUCAGAACAUCCAUGAAUAGGAGUGAAGCAUCUGUGCUGGUAAUGAUUGCUAUACAAACUUCUUUGCAAUCUCAAGACUAAAGUAUUUACUUUUCCUUUUUCAUUUAUGCUCUUUUCAGUGUCAUUGUGCCUUUUUUAUUGACAUUCUAAAAAGUUGCUAAAGUUACAUUGUUGACUGCUCUUGACCAUAUUGAGAUAAUGAGAAAUCAGAGAUAUAGUAAUGUGUGGCUUAAUUUGGCUUAUAUUAGAGCAUUGCUACUGGUAAAAGUACCUAGCGAAAAAAAUUGCUCAUGGUAAACUACCUGCAUAAUUUCACUAGUACCUUUUGUGAUGCAGUAGUUGUUUAUGCACUAAAUGGUGGCCUCUGUUCCUGAAGAUCCAGUCCUAUAUUUUUGCUAGGUUGAUCCAAAUAUGCUCAUGUUCUUAUUUCGAUCUAUAUAAUUGAGCAUUUGGUCUUCUUUCCCAUUAAUUGUACUAUGUUUUGGUUUAGCAUGUAAUAUAGUCCAAUCUUGAUAUUAAUUCAGUUUCUAGCUAUAUUGAUCUUCCAGUUUCUUACAAGCUUAUCACAAUUGCAGGUUUAAUUAUACAUUCAAGCAUCAACUUCAGGAUCUGUACCAUCUAUUAAUAUCAUCUUUCUGUUAUUGAUUGAUCAACCAAAUAAUAUGUUCCUAGCUAUUGUAACUUUGGUUAUUGCUUUAACUGUCAUGAACCAUGAAUUGCUUGUAUGCUAAUUAUUAAUUGUAACCUCUUUACUGAAAUAUAUAUUUAUGUUGGAAUGUGUUGUGCU